rnacentral:rRNA from 1 species
AUGGAUUGGUGCCUUCGGGAACAUUGAGACAGGUGCUGCAUGGCUGUCGUCAGCUCGUGGUCGUGAGAUGUUGGGUUAAGUCCCGUAACGAGCGCAACCCUUGUCCUUAGUUACCAGCACGUAAUGGUGGGCACUCUAAGGAGACUGCCGGUGACAAACCGGAGGAAGGUGGGGAUGACGUCAAGUCAUCAUGGCCCUUACGGCCUGGGCUACACACGUGCUACAAUGGUCGGUACAGAGGGUUGCCAAGCCGCGAGGUGGAGCUAAUCCCAGAAAACCGAUCGUAGUCCGGAUCGCAGUCUGCAACUCGACUGCGNGAAGUCGGAAUCGCUAGUAAUCGCGAAUCAGAAUGUCGCGGUGAAUACGUUCCCGGGCCUUGUACACACCNCCCCUCUCU